GCUCCUGUAGCUCACUUGGUUAGAGCCCUGCGCUCCAUGCAGGAGAUCGAGGAUUCAAUCCCCUCCAGGUGCA
rnacentral:tRNA from 1 species